rnacentral:lncRNA from 1 species
GGGAAACUUAUGUGCAUGGAUUUUUGCACGUACUUUACCCGGACAACUUAUGUGCAUGAAUUCUUGUGUGCAUGAAUUUGUAUGAGCUGCAUGGAGGCCAACUUUUCUGGUUCAAGAUGCAUACUUCAACCGGUAAUAAUACAACAGUUUGAUCUCUUUUCUUCACAGCUGCAUGCAUGGCUCCGGCUGCUUCUUGACAUGUUGGAAAUUCACAUGCUGCAUGCAGGCCAAUUUCCAACACUCUUCCUUGGCUUGCAUACUGCAAACUCUUGUUCAUUAAGCAUUCUUUGAUGAUUUGGUUCACUAAAUCAUUUUUCUCAUCUCCUUUUGCUUCCAAAUCUCUUUGAAGGUCCUCGACCAUUUGCUUCAACUCCAAUUUUUGAUUCUCCAUUUCAUUCGAUCUUUUAGAUGACUUUUUUUUGUUUCUCUCAAACUGCAAUUCUAGUUUUGUCUUCUGGAUAUGAAGAGAUUCCAACUGCUGCUGCAAUGUGUUUGCCUCAUCCAUUAACCUUUGUAUUUGAUUUGAUGCUUCAUCACUUUCAAAUGCAAAAUUUUCUUUCAACAGAGCUUUCUCAGCUUGCAACGUCUCCUUCUCUAAUAGCAGAUUAUUUUCCUGAGCAGUCAAGUUCUUCACACCAGACAAUGAUUCACUGCUAUCAUCCUCAAGUUCCUUCGUGAGAAUAAAAAUUUCUUUUUCUCUCUUUUCUAACAUUAUUUUGAGUUCUAAAAUGCGGGAUUGAAGUCCUAUAUUUUGUUCUCCCAGUUUUUCUGCUUCAUUUACUUUGUUCUCUAACUGAUCCGCCAUAUCUCUGUUAGUUGCCUGUAAUGAUUUCAACUCAAGUUCCAAGCUAGUUACAUGUGCCUUUAAUUCUUUUAUCUGAGGAGAUGAUUGGUUCCCAUGCAUAUCAUGCACCUCUUUGAGUGUCAAAAGUUUCCUUUCUUUCUCAACUGAAUUAGUGAAAUUUUCAACCAAAUCUUCUUUGGUUAGCUGAGCCAUUGACAUGCAGUUGGCAUGGCUAAGCCUCUUGUGACACAGCUUGGAUUCAUCUGCAGCAGCUGUGUAGGCACUAUCUGGACUCUUAUUCCAGUCCACAAUGAAACUUUUUUCUGUCAUAGCUACUAUCAUGAGCUUGGAUCCACUAGGAUCACUAAUCAGGCAUUUUUUGCCUUUGAAUACAACUGAAUAGCCCUUCUCAAGUAGUUGAGCAAUGCUAAGCAAAUUUCUAUCAAUUUCAGGCACUAACAAGACAUUUGUAACAAGUUUAGUACUUGUAGGAGUGUUUAUCAGCACAUCUCCUUUCCCUUCAACUUUGAUAAAGUGUCCAUUUCCGACUUUCACAUUUGUUUUGAAGCUUCUGUCAAUUGACUUAAAAUUGUGAGCAUCAGGGGUCAUGUAGUUUGUGCAACCACUGUCUAUCAACCAUCCAUUUGUGGCUUUUCCUUUUGCAGCUGAGUAAGAAACUGUAAAAACUUGUUCUUCUUGGUCAUUGUCUUCUUCUACUACUUGAGCUUCAGCUCUUGGCUGCUGGGGUUUGUUGUAUCUUGGUCUGCCCUUAUUUUUGCAAACCCUUUUUACAUGACCCAUCUUCUUGCAGAAUCUGCACUGCACAUCAGGCCUGAACCAACAUACUUUACCCUGAUGACUUGCCCUUUUACAGUGUGGGCAGGGUGGAUAGCUUCCUGCACCACCUACUUUAGGCUCGUUUGACCAGGUAUUCUUGCCUUUGUAGGCAGAGGUGCUCGAGGCAAACUUGGCUUUAGUUUGAAAGGCACCUACUUGGUGCUCCUCCGAUCUGCUGGCCCUCCUUUGCUCUUGCGUAUACAGAGCAUUGAUCAGCUCUGUUAAAGAGAUGCUGGUCAGGUCCCUUGAAUCUUCAAGAGAUGAGAUUUUUUCCCCAUACCUUUUUGGUAAGGUAGAGAGCACUUUCUCCACAAUCCUUGCCUCAUCGAUUACUCACCAAGGAGCCUUAUGCUGUUAAAUACAGCCAUGAUUCUGUCAGAAUACUUCUUGACAGUUUCUUCUUCCUUCAUCUUCAAGUUCUCGAACUCCCUUCUCAGAUUCAACAACUGCUGCUAUCUUGUCCUCUCUGUGCCUUGGAACUCCUCCUUGAGUUUGUCCCAGGCUUGUUUUGGUGUUUCACAAGCCAUGAUUCUAGUAAAAAUUACAUCAGAAACACAGUUCUGAAUGCAAGACAUGGCCUUGUGCUUUUUACUUUUUUUAUUCAGAGUACUGCUUCAUUUGAGCCACUAUUGGAUUUGCUCUCAAUGGUUCUGGUUCAACAUCUGAGUUAACUACCUCCCAUAGAUCAAAUGCCUGGAGGUAGGUUCUCAUCUUGACUACCCAAAUGUGAUAUCCUUCUCCAUUGAAAACUGGAGGUGCAGCUGGUGAGAAGCUUGAUGAAGCCAUCUUGUUUUAUAUUGAAUAUGAAACAGGUCCUCUAAGAAAUGAGCUCUUGAUACCAAUUGUUGGUGUUAGACACACUUUAACCGGAUGAAGUAAGAACUUCAAUCUGGACUUUAACAGCAACGUAUUUUACCCGGAUAAAAUAUGAAAGAAAAAUGCUUGAAGUUCAAGCUUUCAGCUCCUGUCAAGAAUGGAGAACAUAACUUAGAAGGCAAAGAAAGAUGGAGCAUAUGGAAGAAAAUCUGAUGAUUUCAUUCAAAAAGAAACUUUGGCUCAAAGCCAUUACAUAUACCAGACUUUGGCUGGUCAAAAACAAUAAAUUCAUCACCUAAACACUACCUAACUCCACUUAUUACAUUGGAACUAAGUGAUAUUACUUGCACACUUAAACAAAGCUGGUAACCAGCUCUUUGACCAUCAAGUUACAUCAACUUGUCAUCCAAACAUAAUUCAAAAUGAACUAAAUUACAAAAACAUUGUUAAAAGGUAACAAAAUGAAACUGAGAUGAAGUAGUAGCAUUAGCAUCUUCAGUUGCACGUACUUUACCCGGGAAACUUAUGUACAUGGAUUCUUGCACGUACUUUACCCGGACAACUUAUGUGCAUGAAUUGUUGUGUGCAUGAAUCUGUAUGAGCUGCAUGGAGGCCAACUUUUCUGGUUCAAGAUGCAUACUUCACCCGGUAAUAAUACAAUAGUUUGAUCUCUUUUCUUCACAGCUGCAUGCAUGGCUCCGGCUGCUUCUUGACAUGUUGGAAAUUCACAUGCUGCAUGCAGGCCAAUUUCCAACAAUGAUAGAGAUAAUCGGUAAAGUUGUUGCGGGUAUCUUCACCUCUAAAACUCAAGAAAACAUUUUAUUUCUUUCUAGUAUUGGAUGAAGAAGUUAAAGGUAAUGACGACAUGACGAUGUAGUGUUCAAAAUCAGAAAAUUGAUCGCUCAAUACGCCAGAAAGAAACUAGAACAAUAAGUAUACGAGAGUGAAGAAGGAGAAAAAGGGAUCAAAUUUCCAGGGAAGAAUGAAGGUCGUUUCUAAGCAAUUUCUCUAUAACCUUUUUCUUUUUCCAAAUGAAUGCUCGUAGGUGUGGAAAUUGUGUGAUGCAUGUUCUUUCCAGGAAGAAUCCA